CCCAGACUCCUACGGGAGGCAGCAGUGGGGGAUAUUGGACAAUGGGGGAAACCCUGAUCCAGCGACGCCGCGUGAGUGAAGAAGUAUUUCGGUAUGUAAAGCUCUGUCAGCAGGGAAGAAAGAAAUGACGGUACCUGACCAAGAAGCCCCGGCUAACUACGUGCCAGCAGCCGCGGUAAUACGUAGGGGGCAAGCGUUAUCCGGAAUUACUGGGUGUAAAGGGAGCGUAGACGGCAAGGCAAGUCUGGAGUGAAAGCCCGUGGCUCAACCACGGGACUGCUUUGGAAACUGUGUUGCUGGAGUGCAGGAGGGGUAAGCGGAAUUCCUAGUGUAGCGGUGAAAUGCGUAGAUAUUAGGAGGAACACCGGUGGCGAAGGCGGCUUACUGGACUGUAACUGACGUUGAGGCUCGAAGGCGUGGGGAGCAAACAGGAUUAGAUACCCCAGUAA
rnacentral:rRNA from 1 species